AGGAGAACCCGCUGUGCCCGCUGGCCUACAGUGAGAUUCCCAAGAAGCUUCCCACAGUUCCUGAAUUAAAGGAAGGUUAUCUGUGCUUUUAAAACGCUUCCGAAGACCCGUCUGAACAGAAAGCCAUCAAUUUACAGUACAGUGUCUUCUCCCCCGCAACACACCGAGAGGGGAAGAAGACAGAAAAGAGCUUCAAGGAAGGAAGGCACAAGCUGGCUUUUUUCCUGUGCGAAACUAGAAAUUUUAAUCGAAGAUACGUUCCUCUCACGGCGAGACACAAAAAUGCCUAAUAUUAAAAUAUUUCAGGGUGCACUUCCGGACCUGCUUACGGAACCUCGGAGAGAAGAACGCACCAGAAACAAGGGCUGGAAAUGAGGGAAUCUCACACUAUUACCAUCCAACACCCUCUUCUGAGUGAUACCGAUUCAAGACGCUGAUUCUGGUCUCCAAAUGAACACGUUUAUACCUCGGGACAAGCCCAUCCUGUAAAAUGUCAUGAUGAACUCGCAACAGGUGCUCAACAAAUGCCAGGAUAGGAGCGAACGCUAAGACCAGGAAAAGAUAAGUGGAAGGAGAAGGAUUUUUAGAUCAUUUUUCGAUUUUUUA